AACGAACGCUGGCGGCAUGCCUAACACAUGCAAGUCGAACGAGACCUUCGGGUCUAGGGGCGCACGGGUGCGUAACGCGUGGGAACCUGCCCGUAGGUUCGGAAUAACUCCCCGAAAGGGGUGCUAAUACCGGAUAAUUUCUUCGGACCAAAGAUUUAUCGCCUUUGGAUGGGCCCGCGUUGGAUUAGCUAGUUGGUAGGGUAAAAGCCUACCAAGGCGACGAUCCAUAGCUGGUCUGAGAGGAUGAUCAGCCACACUGGGACUGAGACCCGGCCCAGACUCCUGCGGGAGGCAGCAGUGGGGAAUAUUGGAGAAUGGGCGAAAGCCUGAUACAGCAAUGGCGCGUGAGUGAUGAUGGCCUUAGGGUUGUAAAGCUCUUUUACCCGGGAUGAUAAUGACAGUACCGGGAGAAUAAGCUCCGGCUAACUCCGUG
rnacentral:rRNA from 1 species